rnacentral:rRNA from 1 species
AUUGAACGCUGGCGGCAGGCCUAACACAUGCAAGUCGAACGGUAACAGGAAGAAGCUUGCUUCUUUGCUGACGAGUGGCGGACGGGUGAGUAAUGUCUGGGAAACUGCCUGAUGGAGGGGGAUAACUACUGGAAACGGUAGCUAAUACCGCAUAACGUCGCAAGACCAAAGAGGGGGACCUUCGGGCCUCUUGCCAUCGGAUGUGCCCAGAUGGGAUUAGCUAGUAGGUGGGGUAACGGCUCACCUAGGCGACGAUCCCUAGCUGGUCUGAGAGGAUGACCAGCCACACUGGAACUGAGACACGGUCCAGACUCCUACGGGAGGCAGCAGUGGGGAAUAUUGCACAAUGGGCGCAAGCCUGAUGCAGCCAUGCCGCGUGCAUGAAGAAGGCCUUCGGGUUGUAAAGUACUUUCAGCGGGGAGGAAGGGAGUAAAGUUAAUACCUUUACUCAUUGACGUUACCCGCAGAAGAAGCACCGGCUAACUCCGUG